rnacentral:rRNA from 1 species
UACGAAGGGGGCUAGCGUUGCUCGGAAUUACUGGGCGUAAAGCGCACGUAGGCGGCUUUCUAAGUCGGGGGUGAAAUCCUGGAGCUCAACUCCAGAACCGCCUUCGAUACUGGAAAGCUCGAGUCCGGGAGAGGUGAGUGGAACUGCGAGUGUAGAGGUGAAAUUCGUAGAUAUUCGCAAGAACACCAGUGGCGAAGGCGGCUCACUGGCCCGGUACUGACGCUGAGGUGCGAAAGCGUGGGGAGCAAACAGG